GCGCCGGUGGUCUAGUGGCUAUGACCCGAGCCUUCCAAGCUCGUAACCCGGGUUCGAGUCCCGGUCGGCGCA
rnacentral:tRNA from 3 species